CUAUCUAGAUCUACUCUAGUUUAGAGAAGAGAGGAGAGCUCUCAUCUCUAAACCCUAGCUUUUGCUCUGUCUAUGAAUAAUGAAUAAUGAUCAAGGGGUGCCUCCUCUAGGGGCCAGGGGGUCUGGUUUUAUAGUCCCCUCAAGUGAAUCUGGGCCGUCGGAUCAAACCGACAUUGAUUGAACGGUUAUUCUUGAUCCUUUAGGUCGGUGGAGCAUAAUCCGCGAGAUUGAGCGUGAUUGGCCGAAAAAGGUGGGCGGGCGCCCUAAGGACUUGAGCGGGCGCCCUGUCCCUGACUCCGUUCGGUCUCCGCUUCCUUCCCGUGGCUUCUGGAGUCUUCUAGAUGUAAGAUAAUUGCGCGGCACGUUGAUAUCUCUAUGUAAUCCUGACGUGUGGGCCUUUCUUCCUUAUUUCCUGAUAACCCCCUGCAGAAAUAGACAAACACCAAAACUCGUGGAAUUCUGUCAGAUAAAACCCUAAGUCUCGAUGUUGAUUUGAUUUGGAUCCUUUUCUUUGUUUAUUUGAUAGUUAAAUUUCAUACUUAAGGACCGUCAACAAACUCCCCCAAGCUUACCUCUUGCUCGUCCCUGAGCAAGGAUAGACUCAGCUAUGGAUCAUAAGUUGUUGCAAUAUCUUUAAAAAUUGACGGUACACAUGCUUUUAAAUGAGGUCUCAUCUCUGAGUUCGAGUAAACUGUCAAGACUUAAAACUUACUUACUUUACCAUUCACCAUGGGACUUGUAACCGUCACUACUGUCUUGAGUGGUUAAAAGAUAGAACAGUCCAGUCAAGUGCCAUGUCGCUUAUUCUUGAUCAGCUAUAGCUCUGGAGUUUUUUUGCAGAUUUUCAAAUAAAACUCAGAGAUUCCUUUGUAUGACUCUCUCAUAUCUCUCUUUUGUAGUAUUUCUGGAUCCUUACCAAGGCAGUGAUGGUAUAUGUCUUCUCUCAAAAUAUGUGGUAUUUGUGGUAUAAGGGAUAGUGACAUUGUCUUCUCUCUCACCCUACUCUAAUAAGGCUUUAAUAUCUGGAGCUCAUAGGUGGGAGAUAAAAUAUACAUACUUACAAGACAUUUAUUGUAUAGUCAAACCAUGGAUCCAAAAAAACAAAUCAAUAAGCCAAAUCAAGAUGUGCAUGUGUGGCGAAUGAAUAGUGUAUGGUGAUGAUGGUGGUAACAAUGGUGAAAGUCUAAUUCUACUUUUGCUCUUUUGAGGGGAUACAUACCUUCCUUGCUUUUUGAAACUUUAUGAGGAGAAUGAGAUGCUCUUCUUUUUCUUUUCUCUCAGAUGGGUAUCCAGUACCCCUAAUUCUACUGUCGGACACUUGUCCAUUUUUACCUCUUGUCUCACUCUUUUUCUUUUCGGCACUUGCCUCUUUUUAUUUCCUCGUUUUUUUUUUCUUUUCUUUUUUUGUUCUUCUUUUUUUUCAGAGCACUUAUCUCUUGAGAUAAUAUAGCAAGUGGUAGUAGCAAGAUAACUUGAGCAUUUAUAUCACAAGGGAAAAACACAGAUGUUUUUGGCUAUUCUCUCCCGAAUUAGGAGUAUAAUAUUUUUAGGUGAUUUUGGAGAUGGAAAUGGAUGGAUAUAUGUGGAUGGUACUUCCGGAGUAGAAGUAGCAUAUAUAUGAGUGAACGUGCAAGUGAAUCUUGAUUUAACCACAUGACAAGCUCCUAAGGGUCUACUUAGCUUGACCACACUCAAUGCUCAUAAGCAGUAAAUAAUUAAUGUGUGGCUCAAAGUCUAGCAAGCAUGUAUAUAUGGCUGUGGUAGGAAUUUAAACUUUCAUCAUACAGGAACUCAUCAUGCAACAUUUUAAAGAUUUUUCAAAGAUAAAAUUCUCCAGAAUUCUAGCAUCUCUAGGAAUAGAUAAACAGCAGCUCAACCUUCCCAUAUCAUAUCCGUUAACAACUUAGAUUUCAGAUCAAGUUUUCAUCCCACAAGUUUAGAUCUAGAGCAAGCCGUAAAUUAUAACAGUUAUGUCUAAACUUGAGAGAGAACUUCAAAUUUGCAAAUUAGGCAGAGCAACUAUUCAUCAUAUCCAUGCUAGAGUUUUAUUAUUAAGAUUCAGAUUAGCAUAGCCACUUUAUUUAUUUAUUAAACACACUAAGCAAAAGAUAUAUAUAAGCACAAAAUCUUUAUUUGUUUUUCAUAGUUUAUGUAUUUUAAUAUUCUAAUAUAAUAUAAGUAUAAAGAUAGGUAGAAAUACUUAGCGAGAUAAAUGGGGUUGCUCUCCCCCAAGCUGAAUUUUGACGUAAUUUCUCUUGAUGUAGCUAGCAGGUGGCAGAGCUGUAUUUGAAAGUCAGCAGCAUUCUGACAGCGAUUAGAAUGUCCUCCGUCUGCUAGUCUUCUUGAUUCUUAAAUUUUGUGGAGCUCAAAUAGACAACAAAGCUUGUGGAACUAAUUAAGUGUUAGCAUAAAUAUCUAGCCUUCAUCACGUUGAGCUUCCUCAAUAAAUAUUACUCCCUGUUUUUAUAUUUUUAUUUUAUAAAGUAGAAAAGAAAUAUUUAUUUUAUUUUUAUGCCACCACAGUGAAGAUACUUAUGGGUUUUAUGCCACUCGUAUACUCACAUGGGGCUUAGUAUUUUUUAACAUUUUUAUUUUCUUUUCAAGAUAAUCUAUUUAAGGAAAGUAAAUAAUUAAAGGGAAAAGGGAAUGCAGAAAGGAUAAAUAUGGAUAACUACCAAUCUUACCUUUCGGCGAGGGUUCAAUGUUUUAAGUCUUCUUGACAAGACUUCUCACCGUGUUCAUUCUUCAGGUGCAUCAUUUGAUUCAGGUGCGGACCUUGACGUCUGCACCUCUUGAUACGGUGUCACCCAUGUUUUUCGUUUGCCCAGCAGUUCAAAGUGCGGCGUUGGCAGUAACCUGCUCAGUGUGUUUGUGCUCGUAGAUCCAGGUCCUUCACUUGGUAGAGUCUGAGAGUUAUAAAACUCCUCCGUGUUUUGCUCAAAGUGUACCUGCUCAUAGAGACAAGGCAAAGAUCAAGUGCAUGGGUCUGUUGGUGGAAAACACCAACAGAACCAAAAGUGUAUUUGUUCUUCUCUAACCUUAAGCAUAGUGAGCAAGACAAGUUGAUGGAUGAUAAGUUCAUGAGUGUAGCACUUAUAACAUUUGUCAGAUCAGAUCGCUCAACCUUAUGGAAAGAUAAUCUAUCUAUGUAUAUGUCUUUUUCUUUAUAUCUCUCAAUGAUUGAAUGUGUAACAUUUUAGCUCAUAUGAUUAGGAGUGUGGGAUCAUGGAGGUAGUACUAAGAACAAGGAUUAAAGGACUAAACAUGUUGAAUCAGUUGGGUUGGUUAAUCUAGAGUUGUAAAUCAUACACGUUUGUCUCUUUUAUUUAUAUGAACGCCAGAACCAAGGAGAAGCUUAUAAAAGUGAUAGUCAUGUACCUUAAGAUGUUACCUUGCUCGAAGAGUGAUGGUACAGUAUCAUCUUGUGGAAGCUUUCCUUUCUUAGCGGUUGUGCGUCGUGUUUGUGGCACCCUCUAUGGAUCAUCUCUCUAUGAUGAAUGAGCUAUGUCCUUCUUGUGCAAAUUGUUAAACUUCAUGUGUCACUCUCUUCGUCUCUGAUGUGAGUUUAUCUCAGGACUUCCCAAAUCGAUAUUGAAAGUUUUUCUGCAGGGGAUAGUCCGACAAAAUAUACCAAUAUCUACUCAAGCAGUUUUUUUAGUUCAAUAACCAAACUAGACUCCAUGUCUAAUCAGAUUAAGGAAGGCUAUUUAACCUAAGCACCAUGCUUAAUUUAAAUGCCAAUGGAAGUAUGGCGAGUACUUCCAAACCAUCACUUGCUAGUAAAUAGACAAAGGUAGCAUGAGCAUGUCUUAAAGGUAGAGACAACCAAUAUAGCAACAUGGCAAAUGAUGUUUUUAUGUAAAGUACUCCCCCAAGCUUGAAUUUUGCAAAAUUCAAGUUUAGAUGAAUUUAAUUCAAUGUUGUAUGAUGAUUGGUUGGACAUACCUUGUGCUUGUCGUUCAUCCGAUCUUCUUGCUCCAAUCUUAGAAAGGUUAGUGACAAGAAUACCUGAAGGAAUAUAUUUUUUUUUACAUAAUUAUCCUUAUAUGCUCAAUACACAAGGUAAUGUUGCAAAUAAUUGAAGGCUCAUGUUACGAUCUGAUCAAUGCUUAUUUUAAGACACUAAGCUUGUCCUUGGGAAACCAUCAGUUUAUGUUGGCGAAGUGGUUUCCCCUCCGACGCCAACCUAUAUCUAGAUCAACUCAACGAGAUCUGCAAUAUUUAUUAUAGACAUAUGCAUCGACAACCGCCCUUUUAAAGUUUUUAUAAAUAGAAAGGAAGAGGGGGUUGGAGAUCUCAAAUGUGGUGAUGUCGGAGAGACCAAUAGAUUGGGAAGAUGUUGCAUAUGAGCAUGGAGUAAACGAAGUGGCUAUGAAAUAAAUUCCAUGCUCAUUAAUGUUAUCUUCGUCUCCAAUCUGAAUGUUCGGAGUUUCUCCUGGAUUGGUCUCACCUAUGUCCUCUUCUGUAGUUGGAUGAAUCUCAUCUUCAAAGGGAGUCAAGAACUCACCAUUUGAAAUUGAGGCAAAGUCAGAAUCCAUUAGGGCUUCUUCCUUAUCCAUCCAUUCUACACAUUCUAGCCAUUUAGAACUUGUGAUCAAAAUAGGGGAGGUGUUAGAAUUUUCUAUAUGGCUUAGCUCUCCUUCUAUGGCAUUACUUGACAUGCCAUCCUUAUGGUCUUCAUGACUCCUAUGGUUUGGUCGUCUUGGUGAAUUGCUAGGAUCAUCAUGAGACUGAAAAGAAGAGGGAUAAGAGGGAUCUCUAAGGUCAAGGAUGGAUUUAGAAAUUGUGAACAUGGAAGGGGAGUAGAUAGAAUUGUCUAUAUGGCUUAGCUCUCCUUCACUUGAUAUGUCAUCCUCGACUUCUUCAUGAUAGGGACCAGGACAUUCUCUUAGAGAAACAUUAUUGCAAUGAUUUGAAAUAUCCUUGCUUGAAGGUCUCUUAUAGAACCAGAAGUCUAAACCAUCAGCAUUUAAAAGAUUUAAGGUCGGAAUUCCUUCCUCCCUUGGAGAAUUUUGGGGUAUUGAUGGUUUAGGAUCGAUAGCUAAAGUUUGGGAUUGAAGUGGUUGUGAUCUGGCUAUCGAAACUUCUUCUUCUUGUCUAGGAACUGGUUCUUUCUCUUUCUCAGGGAUAUAAAAGCUAGGAGACUUUCCGCUCAUUAAAUCAAUCAAAUUCCAAGCUUCACUAGCGGAUAGGUGGUGGAAAGAUCCUCCAGAGGCCGCAUGAAGGGUUUGCUUAUUUUUCCUACUAAGGCCCUCAAAAAAGUGAAUUAGAAGAACUUCUUCUGGGAUAGAAAGUUUUGGGCCAGUGAGAGUAAGGUUAAUAAAGCGGUCCCAUGAUUUGCCAAGAGAUUCUUCUUCCACUUGUCUAAAAGAAAGAAUCUCACGCCGAAGUUCCACUACUUUGGAGAUUGGAAAAUAUUUAGAAAGAAAACUACUAUAUAACUCCUUCCAAUCUCCAUGAACACUCCCUACUUUGAGUUUACACCAAUGUCUAGCUUUUCCCGUUAAAGAGAACGGAAAGAGCUUCCAUUUAAGGGUCUCAUCGGACAUGCCUUCUAUGCGAAGGAGGUCACAGACUCGAUAAAACUCUCUUAGGUGUGUGUAUGGGUUUUCCUCACCUUUUCCUGAGAAAGGUUGUUUUUGAAUAAAUUCUAUGUAUUCGGGGUCUAUCUCAAAACUAGAUGUUAUGAUAGGCUUUGAAGAUUUUGGUGGUUCUAGAUGUGUGCCCAUAGGUCUAUGAAAUUCAUAGAUAGACAUGUUUGAAUUCAUAAUAGACCAGAGAUCAAGGAUUAGAUAAGAAGAAAGAAUAGCAGAGAUGAGGCAAAGGAUAAAAGGAAAAUAUUUUUUUUAUUUAUUUAUUUUUUAUAAAAUGAUUAAACUAGUUCGUAGUCAACUCAGCAACCGUUUCCCCGGCAACGGCGCCAAAAAUGCUUGUUGACACUUGCUAACACCACUUGAAUACUAGGUUAUCAUCCCCAGCGUGGCACUAGAGUGUACUAUGGUAUUUAUACGCACACAGAUAAUCCGCAAGCGCACGGAUACCGUUGAAGCUUUUACCCGGUUAAAGGUUUUAUCGUAUCCACAGGGAAACGGGAGAACUGAUCUACGCUCUAACUUAACUAAGAUAAGUAAAUAGGUGUGAAUAGGAAAGAUGGUAGAAUCGAAUAAGAACAAUAUUAAAGGUAAGAUAACAGUGAGUGAUAAUAUGGGAAUAGAGAGUAGAGCAAUUAUAGUAUAUGGGUGAUGGUAGCAGAAUAGAGAGGAUAACUAUGGUUUCUCUACUUCAAAGGGGUAUGUCUAUGUCUGGGACGAACCACGUGAUAAGAGUACACCACAAAGGAUGCAUAUCCAUAGGCCGAUAAACCCUACCCGUCCUGCUAACGAGAGGUGGACUACAGGGGACCAACGUAACUGUCACCUACGUGGCCUACCACACGAUCUAGCUAGUCAGGGGAUAUCCACAAGUAAUCUAGGUCUAAGCACCACGCUUACACCUAUACUACAACUCUAACCUAUAGGGUCCUAUAGAUUAGAAGUACUCAAAAGAGUUGUGAACCAGAAUAUACAUGAUUAGUAAUUGCAUAAUGAAUUAGAAGUAGAUUACCAGAGUCAUCCCAUGAGCAAGCUUGAUUAGAGCUUGAUCAUGGUGAAGUACAACCGGAGGAAGAACCGACAGGCCGGCCUCUCCUCUAAUCCUCCUUCGGUCUCCAUCUCGCUACUAUCUAGAUCUACUCUAGUUUAGAGAAGAGAGGAGAGCUCUCAUCUCUAAACCCUAGCUUUUGCUCUGUCUAUGAAUAAUGAAUAAUGAUCAAGGGGUGCCUCCUCCAGGGGCCAGGGGGUCUGGUUUUAUAGUCCCCUCAAGUGAACCUGGGUCGUCGGAUCAAACCGACAUUGAUUGAACGGUUAUUCUUGAUCCUUUAGGUCGGUGGAGCAUAAUCCGCGAGAUUGAGCGUGAUUGGCCGAAAAAGGUGGGCGGGCGCACUAAGGACUUGGGCGGGCGCCCUGUCCCUGACUCCGUUCGGUCUCCGCUUCCUUCCCGUGGCUUCUGGAGUCUUCUAGAUGUAAGAUAAUUGCGCGGCACGUUGAUAUCUCUAUGUAAUCCCGACGUGUGGGCCUUUCUUCCUUAUUUCCUGAUAACCCCCUGCAGAAAUAGACAAACACCAAAACUCGUGGAAUUCUGUCAGAUAAAACCCUAAGUCUCGAUGUUGAUUUCAUUUGGAUCCUUUUCUUUGUUUAUUUGAUAGUUAAAUUUGAUACUUAAGGACCGUCAACAGGGGAUACAUACAUUUCUUGCACUUUGAAGCUUUUUGAGGAGAAUGAGAUGCUCUAUAUUUUCUUUUUCUUUCCUCUCAGGUGGGUACCUUGUACCCCUAAUUCUACUGUCAGACACUUGUCCAUUUUUACCUCUCGUCUUACUUUUUCUUUUCUUCGAGGUUUCGGGCACUUGCCCCUUUUUAUUUCCUCAUAUAUUUUUUUUUCUUCUUUUUUUUAGAGCACUCAUCUCCUAAAAUAAUAUAGCAAGUGGUAGUAACCAAAAGAACUGGAGCAUUUAUUUCAUUGGGAAUAACAAGGAUAGAAAAAUGUUUUUGGCUAUUCUCUCCCGGAUUAGGAGUAGAAUAAUUUUGGGUGAAUCUGGAGAUGGAAAUGAGUGGAUGUAUGUGGAUGCGUACUUCUGGAAUAGAAGCAACAUAUACGAGUGACCAUGCAAGUGAAUCUUGAUUUUAACCACAUGACAAGCUCCUAAGGGUCUACACAGCUUGACCACACUCAAUGCUCAUAAGCAGUAAAAAGUAAAUAUAUGGUUCAUAGUCUAAUAAUCAUGUAUAUGUGGCUGUGGUAGGAUUUUAAACUCUCAUCAUACAAGAAAUCAUCGUUUGUUAUUUUAAAGAUUUUCAAAGAUAAAAUUCUCCAGAAUUCUAGCAUCUCCAGAAAUAGAUAAACAGCAGCUCAACCUUCCCAUAUCAUAUCCGUUAACGACUUAGACUUUAGAUCAAGUACUCUUCCCACAAGUUCAGGUUUAGAGCAAAUCUUAACUCAUAACAGUUAUGCCUAAACUUGAGAGAGAUUUCAAUUUUAAGAACUAGUCAUGGCAGAGCAACUAUUCAUCAUUUCCAUGUGAGAGCUUAUCAUGAAGGUUCAUAGCAAACUUUAUUUAUUUAGCAAACUAAGCAAAGAUAUAUAUAAAAGCACAAAAUCUUUAUUUGGGUUUUUAUGAUUAUGCAUCUUUUUAUUAUUUGAGUAAAGUAUAAAUGCGAGUAGAAACACUUAGCUCGAUAAAUGGGGGUGCUCUCCCCCAAGCUGGAUUUUGACGUAAUUUCUUCUGAUGUAGCUAGCAGGUGACGGAGGUAUAUUUGAAUGUCGGCAGCACCCUGACAGCGAUUAGGAUGUCCUCCGUCUGCUAGUCUUCUUUGAUCCUUGAAUUCUAUGGAGCUCAAAUAGACAACAAAGCUUUGUGGAACUGGUUAAGUGUUAGCAUAAAUAUCUAGCCUUUAUCAUGUUGAGCCUCCUCAAUAAAUGUUAUUUAUUUAGCAGGAUCAUGCACUUAUUAUUUUUAUAUUUUUAUUAUAAGAUGAAAACAUAUUUAUUUUAUGCCACCACAGUGAAUGUACCUAUCGGUUUUAUGCCAUGAGCAUACUCACAUGGGGCUUACUAUUUUUAACAUUUUUAUUUUCUUUUCGAGAUGAUAUGAAUCCUGAUUAACUAAGCAAACUAUAAUUGAAUAAUUGAAAGGAAAAGGAUAACUACCAAGUUUACCUCUUGGCAAGGCGUUCGAUGUUUUUAAGUCAUCCGAACGGGACUCUUUGUUUUCUCAGUUGUCCUGGGAUUCGCUGGAUGGCGUAGUCGGUGAUUCCGGUGGCGCCUCCUCUUCGUGUAUAACUAUCUUCUCCCUCCACACGUGACUCGGUGCUACGGUCUCCUCAGAAUAGUUCUGUUCAAGUUGUAUGUCUUCAGAGCUUACCAUUUCUCCUUCAUAGUCUGCCCAUCCGUCCGUGAUGAUUUGCCUCAUGUGAUUUCGGUUGCGUCGCCUUCUUCUUGUCCUGACUUGCUUAGAAUCUUCAACUAUAUAGUUAGAAUCAUUAAAGUAGUUGUGUACCUUCUCAGAGGGGAAGUGCAUGUGGACUUCUCCGGUUCCAAUGUAGAUGAUGGCUUUGAUAGUGUUGAGGAACGGUCUUCCAAGGACGGUAGGUGGAUCAUACUCGUCUUUUCCCAUGUCAAUGACCUGAAAAUCGUCUGGAGCUGAAUGUAUCUUGGUUGUAGGAGCAUGGUUCUAUGCAGGAGCUGAUAAGUGACUGCGGCCAUUAUGUUGUCGUCAGAUCCGGUGUCGUAGAGUGUCUUCUGAAAAGAGUAUCCAUUGAUUGUGCACUCAAUGCUUGGAACACCAGGGUUGUCCUUCUUGAUAAGGAAAGGCGACUUGAGUCGACGAUCUUUGACCUCUUUGAACUGCAGUGACCAUCUUAGCUGACUCGGUCCACAUUUGCUUGUUCCUGUUCCUCCUGUUGGUCUUCUUGCUUCGUGUCGGGAUUGCUCUGAAGUUUGUGUAGUCUUGUUCUUGAAGGAAAGUCUCCUUCUUCCCCUUGAUGUAGAAACUGAUCUUGGCAGCAUUAACAUAGAUGACAGCUCUGGUGUUUAGGAAUGGCCUCCCUAAGAUGAUGGAUGCCCUCUCCUCAGUACCAGUUUCUAUCACCACGAAGUCUGCUAGAGCGUACAAGGUACCAACUCGGACGCAGAGGUUCUUCAAUAUUUCCUUUAGGAAACUGAGUGUCCGAUCUGCAACCCUGGGCAUAAUGUUGACGCUGGAGCCAAAGUCGCAGAGUGCUUCUAGGAAGUCCACCAUGCCGAUGGAGAUCGGGAUGACGGGGCGUCCUGGAUCACCUCUCUGAGUAAUUAGGCCUCUGUUGAUUCCAACCUUAAUUUUGUUGAGGACGGUUGUAGUAAUAGUUGUUAUUGUUGUUGAUGUAGUUCAUGUCCUCAAGCAUCUCAGGGCAGUGAUUGCCUGAGUGUCCAAUAUCUCCAGUGUGUUUGUGCUCGUAGAUCCUGGUUCUUCACUUGGUGGAGUCUGGGAGUUGUAAAACUCCUUCAUAUUAUGCUCAAAGUGUUUCUGCUCAUAGAGACAAGGCAGAGAUCAAGUGCAUGGGCCCUGUUGGUGGAAAAUACCAAUAGAACCAAAAGUGUAUUUGUUCUUCUCUAACCUUAAGCAUAGUGAGCAGGACAAAGUUGAUGGAUCAUGAGUGUAGCAUUUGUCAGAUCAGAUGGCUCAACCUAAUGGAAAGAUAAUCAAUCUAUAUUUAUGUUUUGUUUAUAUCUUCCAAAGAUUGAAUGUGCAACAUAUUAGCUUAUAUGAUUAGGAGUGUGGGAUCACGAAGGUAGUACUAAGAACAAAGAUUAAAGAGCUAAACAUGUUGAAUUAAUUAGGUUGGUUAAUUUAGAGUUAUAAAUCAUACAUGUUUGUCUCUUUAUUUAUGUGAAUGCCAGAACCAGGGAGAAGCUUAUAAAAGCGAUAGUCACGUACCUUAAGAUGUUACCUUACUUGAAGAGUGAUGGUAUAGUAUCACCUUGUGGAAGCUUUCCUUUCUUAGUGGUUGUGCAUCGUGUUUGUGGCACCCUCCAUGGAUCAUCUCUUUAUGAUGAAUGAGCUAUGUCUUCCUCGUGCAAGUUGUUAAAUUUCAUGUGUCUCCUUUAUCUCCAAUGAGCUUGUAGCUCAGGACUUCCCAGGUUAAUAUUGAAAGUUUUCCUGCAGGGGUUAGUCCGACAAAAUAUACCAAUGCCUACUCAAGCAGUUUUUAGUUCAAUAACCAAACUAGACUCCAUGUCUAAUCAGAUUAAGGAAGGCUAUUUAACCUAAGCACCAUGCUUAAUUUAAAUGCCGAUGGAAGUAUGUCGAGUACUUCCAAACCAACACUUACUAGGAUAAACAAAGGUAGCAUGAUGGCAUUUAUAGAGAUCUACUCAAGUGGAGAUGAAAAAUAAGUUUAGUGUUUAGAAAAAUUGAGCAUGCCUCAAAAGUAGGGACAACCAACAUAGCAAUAUGGCAAAGGAUGUUUUUAUGUAAAGUACUCCCCCAAGCUUGAAUUUUGCAAAAUUCAAGACUGGAUGAAUUUAAUUCAAUGUUGCAUGAUGAUUGGUUGGUCAUACCUUGCGCUUGUUAUUCCUCGGAUCUUCUUGCUCCAAUCUUGGAAAGGUUAGUGGCAAGAAUACCCGAAGGAAUAUUUCUACAAUUAUCUUUAUAUGCUCAAUACACAAGGCAAUGUUGUAAAUAAUUAGAAGUUCAUGAUCAGUGCUUGUUUUAGGACACUAAGCUUUGGGAAACCAUCAAUUUAUGUCAGCGACGUGGUUUCCCCUCCAACGCCAACCUAUAUCAAAAUCCAACUCAACGAGAUCUGCAAUAUUUAUUAUAUACAUAUGCAUCGACAACCGCUCUUUUAAAGUUGUUAUAAAUAGAAAGGAAGAGAGGGUUGGAGAUCUCAAAUGUGGUGAUAGCACAUGGAUUUUUAAUGCCCUCUAGCCAUUGAUGUUGCUCUUCUCGAUCCUCCUUGUGGUCUUGGUGACUCUUAUGAAUGGGAUGUCUAGAGAAAUUCAUAGGCUUAUCGGGAGGUUCAAAAGAAAGAGCAUAGUAGAAAUUAUUAGACUCAAGGAUGGGAUGGAUAGCCGAAUCAUGGGAUUGAAAUGUUUGGAAAUUGGCUAUUGAAACUUCCUUUCCUUGUCUGGGAGAUGAUUCCUUCUCUAUCUCUAAGAUUUUUCUAUGAAGACUAGUACAAGAAGGAUGUCCACGAAUGAAGACAUACCUUCCUUUACUGAUAGAUAAAGAAAGAAAGACUCUACCAAAGGGUAUAUGAUUAAGACUAAUGUAAAAAUAUAGAGAAAAAACAUGGUCUUGUUGGGCUAGGUUUAAACUAGAAUUUAUAGAAAAAUUAAAAGAUUCCCUAGGUGUAGCUAAAAGUGCAUUAUCUUCUUGAUUAAAAGAUAGGACCUCAGCUAUAAAAAAGGGUUGGUUUUGACCUAUUGCAAUCAACUCCGGACACAAAUCAUAAUUAGGGGCAGGACUUGUUAACUCCCAUGGUCUAUGGCUGGUCUCCGAAUGUGCAAAGAAUUUAAUAAUAGGUAUGGAAUUUAAGUUAUCCAUAAAGAUAAAAGUAAAAAGAUAAAAGAAUAAAAGUAUAAAAGUAUAAUACAAGAUAAUAGCAAGACUCAAAGUUAUCUUAGCAAACCGUCUUUCUCUCCGGCAACGGCGCCAGAAAUGCUUGUUGAUAUUUGGUAACGCAAUAAGGAAAUGAUCCGCAAGCGCACGGAUAUCGUUGAGCAUUUCACCCGAGAGGUUAUCCAGAGUAUCGUAUUUAUAUUUUUACCACUGGGAGAAAGGGUGCAUCUGACUAACCAAAUCUAUUGAUACUAUCCCUUUAGGCUACAAAGAAUGUUUCUCGAUGUGAGUGAUGUAUAGAGAAGACUGCAACCGUAGUCUCGUUCUAACCUUGGUAAGGAUCAUCUAAUGUUCUAUUGGGGAAGCUUACGGAAUCUAGACACCACAAAGGAUGUUCGACCCGCACCUAUAAACCCUACCCGUCCUGCUAACAAGAUAUGGGAUACAAAGGUAACACGGAAAUGUCACGUUCCUCGCUACUACCACGGUCCAGCUAGUCAGGGGAUAUCUAUGAGUACCCUAGACUAAACACCACGUUUACGCUAGCAAUGAUUACUCUAAUACUCAACCGGAAGAGGACUAAAGUAAACUCAUAAACCAAAGAACAAUAAAACAAGAACUUACUAGAAUUAGAAGUCGAAUUACUGAAGAGUCCUAGGAGCAAGCCUCAGGUUAGAAGACUUGAUCCUGCAGGUACAACUCGGAGUAGACACCGACAGGCCGGCCUUCCUCCGAUCUACACCUCCACUCUAUCUCUCUCAAUCUAGUAGAAACUAGAAGAUCUAUUUCUACUCACAUUGGUUGCUAAGCCUAAAAAGAAAUAUUAUUUAGAGAAGAGGUUUUCCUUCGAGGGCACCCCUCAACUCUAUGAUAACUUCUUGUCUUCUCCAGUGGCCAAGGGGGUCUCCAUAUAUAGUCCUCCUCCUCCAUGCAUUUUUGGGUCGGUAGGCUGUUGACACUUGCUAACACCACUUGAAUACUAGGUUGUCAUCCCCAGCAUGGCACUAGAGUGUACUAUGGUAUUUAUACGCACACAGAUAAUCCGCAAGCGCACGGAUACCGUUGAAGCUUUUACCCGGUUAAAGGUUUUAUCGUAUCCACAGGGAAACGGGAGAACUGAUCUACGCUCUAACUUAACUAAGAUAAGUAAAUAGGUGUGAAUAGGAAAGAUGGUAGAAUCGAAUAAGAACAAUAUUAAAGGUAAGAUAACAGUGAGUGAUAAUAUGGGAAUAGAGAGUAGAGCAAUUCUAGUAUAUGGGCGAUGGUAGCCGAAUAGAGAGGAUAACUAUGGUUUCUCUACUUCAAAAGGGUAUGUCUAUGUCUGGGACGAACCACGUGAUAAGAGUACACCACAAAGGAUGCUUAUCCAUAGGCCGAUAAACCCUACCCGUCCUGCUAACGAGAGGUGGACUAUAGGGGACCAACGUAACUGUCACCUACGCGGCCUACCACACGAUCCAGCUAGUCAGGGGAUAUCCACAAGUAAUCUAGGUCUAAGCACCACGCUUACACCUAUACUACAACUCUAACCUAUAGGGUCCUAUAGAUUAGAAGUACUCAAACGAGUUGUGAACCAGAACAUACAUGAUUAGUAAUUGCAUAAUGAAUUAGAAGUUGAUUACCAGAGUCAUCCCAUGAGCAAGCUUGAUUAGAGCUUGAUCAUGGCGAAGUACAACCGGAGGAAGAACCGACAGGCCGGCCUCUCCUCUAAUCCUCCUUCGCUCUCCAUCUCGCUACUAUCUAGAUCUACUCUAGUUUAGAGAAGAGAGGAGAGCUCUCAUCUCUAAACCCUAGCUUUUACUUUGUCUAUGAAUAAUGAAUAAUGAUCAAGGGGUUGUCUCCUCCAGGGGCCAGGGGGUCUGGUUUUAUAGUCCCCUCAAGGGAACCUGGGCCGUCGGAUCAAACCGACAUUGAUUGAAUGGUUAUUCUUGAUCCUUUAGGUUGGUGGAGCAUAAUCCGCGAGAUUGAGCAUGAUUGGCCACAGGAGGUGGGCGGGCGCCCAGUAGGACAGGGCGGGCGCCCUGUCUCUGGCCCCGUUUCGCCUCCGCUUCGGUCUCGUGGCUUCUGGAGUCUUCUAGAUGUAAGAUAAUUGCGCGGCACGUUGAUAUCUGUAUGUAAUCCCGACGUGUGGGCCUUUCUUCCUUAUUUCCUGAUAACCCCCUGCAGAAAUAGACAAACACCAAAACUCGUGGAAUUCUGUCAGAUAAAACCCUAAGUCUCGAUGUUGAUUUCAUUUGGAUCCUUUUCUUUGUUUAUUUGAUAGUUAAAUUUGAUACUUAAGGACCGUCAACAAACUCCCCCAAGCUUACCUCUUGCUCGUCCCUAAGCAAGGAUAGAAUCAGCUAGUGGAUCAUAAGUUGUUGCAAUAUCUUUAAAAAUUGACGGUACACAUGCUUUUAAAUGAGGUCUCAUCUCUGAGUUAGAGUAAACUGUCAAGACUUAAAACUUACUUACUUUAUCUUUCACCAUGGGACUUGUAACCGUCACUUCUGUCUUGAGUAGUUAAAAGAUAGAACAGUCUAGCCAAGUGCCAUGUCUCUUAUUCUUGAUCAGCUAUAGCUCUGGAGUUUUUGCAGAUUUUCAAAUAAAACCCAGAGAUUCCUUGUAUGACUCUCUCAUAUCUCUCUUUUGUGGUAUUUGUGGAUCCUUACCAAGGCAGUGAUGGUAUAUGCCUUCUCUCAAAAUAUGUGGUAUUUGUGGUAUAAGGCAUAGUGACAUUGCCUUCUCUCUCACCCUACUCUAAUAAGUCUUUAAUAUCUGGAGCUCAUAGGUGGGAGAUAAAGUAUACAUACUUACAAGACAUGUAUUGCAUAGUCAAACCAUGGAUCCAAAGAAACAAGUCAAUAAGCCAAAUCAAGAUGUGCAUGUGUGGCGAAUGAAUGGUGUAUGGUGAUGAUGGUGAUAACAAUGGUGGAAACAAUGGUGGUGGAAGUCUAAUUCUACUUUUGCUCUUUUGAGGGGAUACAUACCUUUCUUGCUCUUGAAACUUUAUGAGGAGAAUGAGAUGCUCUUCUUUUUCUUUUCUUUUCUCUCAGGUGGGUAUCCUGUACCCCUAAUUCUACUGUCGGACACUUGUCCAUUUUUACCUCUCGUCUCACUCUUUUUCUUUUCUUUCGAGGUUCCAGGCACUUGCCCCUUUUUAUUUCCUCGUUUAUUUUUUUUUUCUUUUCUUUUUUUUCCUUUUUUUUAGAGCACUCAUCUCUUGAGAUAAUAUAGCAAGUGGUAGUAGCAAGAUAACUUGAGCAUUUAUUUCACAAAGGAAAAACACAGAUGUUUUUGGCUAUUCUCUCCCGAAUUAGGAGUAGAAUAUUUUUAGGUGAUUCUGGAGAUGGAAAUGGAUGGAUAUAUGUGGAUGGUACUUCCGGAGUAGAAAUAGCAUAUAUAUGAGUGAACGUGCAAGUGAAUCUUGAUUUAACCACAUGACAAGCUCCUAAGGGUCUACACAGCUUGACCACACUCAAUGCUCAUAAGCAGUAAAUAAUAAAUGUGUGGCUCAAAGUCUAGCAAGCAUGUAUAUAUGGCUGUGGUAGGAAUUUAAACUCUCAUCAUACAGGAACUCAUCAUGCAACAUUUUAAAGAUUUUCAAAGAUAAAAUUCUCCAGAAUUCUAGCAUCUCUAGGAACAGAUAAACAGCAGCUCAACCUUCCCAUAUCUUAUCCGUUAACAACUUAUAUUUCAGAUCAAGUUUUCAUCCCACAAGUUUAGAUCUAGAGCAAGCUUUAAAUUAUAACAGUUAUGUCUAAACUUGAGAGAGAACUUUAAAUUUGCAAAUUAGGCAGAGCAACUAUUCAUUAUAUCCAUGCUAGAGUUUUAUUAUUAAGAUUCAUAGCAAACUUUAUUUAUUUAUUUAUUUAUUUAGCAAACUAAGAAAAGGUAUAUAUAUAUAUAAGCAUAAAAUCUUUAUUUGGUUUUUCAUAGUUUAUGUAUUUUAAUAUUCUAAUAUAAUAUAAGUAUAAAGAUAGGUAGAAAUAUUUAGCGAGAUAAAUAGGGGUGCUCUCCCCCAAGCUGAAUUUUGACGUAAUUUCUCUUGAUGUAGCUAGCAGGUGGCAGAGGUGUAUUUGAAAGUCAGCAGCAUUCUGACAGCGAUUAGAAUGUCCUCCGUCUGCUAGUCUUCUUGAUUCUUAAAUUCUGUGGAGCUCAAAUAGACAACGAAGCUUGUGGAACUAAUUAAGUGUUAGCAUAAAUAUCUAUCCUUCAUCAUGUUGAGCUUCCUCAAUAAAUAUUACUCUCUGUUUUUAUAUUUUUAUUUUAUAAACAAAAAAGAAAUAUUUAUUUUAUUUUUAUGCCACCACAGUGAAGGUACUUAUGGGUUUUAUGCCACUCGUAUACUCACAUGGGGCUUAGUAUUUUUUAAUAUUUUUAUUUCCUUUUCAAGAUAGCAUGAUUAACUAAUAAUCUAUUUAAGGAAAGUAAAUAAUUAAAGGGAAAAGUGAAUGCAGAAAGGAUAAAUAUGGAUAACUACCAAUCUUACCUUUCGGCGAGGGUUCAAUGUUUUAAGUCUUCUUGUCAAGACUUCUCAUCGUGUUCAUUCUUCAGGUGCGUCAUUUGAUUCAGGUGCGGACCUUGACGUCUGCACCUUUUAAUACGGUGUCACCCAUGUUCUUCGUUUGCCCAGCAGUUCGAAGUGCGGUGUUAGCAGUAUCUUGCUCAAUGUGUUUGUGCUCGUAGUGUACCUUGCUUGAAGAGUGAUGAUACAGUAUCAUCUUGUGGAAGCUUUCCUUUCUUAGCGGUUGUGCAUCGUGUUUGUGGCACCCUCCAUGGAUCAUCUCUCUAUGAUGAAUGAGCUAUGUCCUUCUUGUGCAAAUUGUUAAACUUCAUGUGUCACUCUCUUCGUCUCUGAUGUGAGUUUAUCUCAGGACUUCCCAAAUCGAUAUUGAAAGUUUUUCUGCAGGGGUUAGUCCGACAAAAUAUACCAAUAUCUACUCAAGCAGUUUUUUUUAGUUCAAUAACCAAACUAGACUCCAUGUCUAAUCAGAUUAAGGAAGGCUAUUUAACCUAAGCACCAUGCUUAAUUUAAAUGCCAAUGGAAGUAUGGCGAGUACUUCCCAACCAACACUUGCUAGUAAAUAGACAAAGGUAGCAUGACAACAUUUAUAGAGAUCUACUCA
rnacentral:lncRNA from 1 species